GGAUAACCUGCCCUUGGGACCGGCAUAACCCCGGGAAACUGGGGAUAAUUCCGGAUAACGCAUAUUUGCUGGAAUGCUUUAUGCGUCAAAAGGAUUCGUCUGCCCAAGGAUGGGUCUGCGGCCUAUCAGGUAGUAGUGGGUGUAAUGUACCUACUAGCCAGCGACGGGUACGGGUUGUGAGAGCAGGAGCCCGGAGAUGGAUUCUGAGACAUGAAUCCAGGCCCUACGGGGCGCAGCAGGCGCGAAAACUUUACAAUGCGGGAAACCGUGAUAAGGGGACACCGAGUGCCAGCAUCAUAUGCUGGCUGUCCGGAUGUGUAAAAUACAUCCGUUAGCAAGGGCCGGGCAAGACCGGUGCCAGCCGCCGCGGUAACACCGGCGGCCCGAGUGGUGAUCGUGAUUAUUGGGUCUAAAGGGUCCGUAGCCGGUUUGGUCAGUCCUCCGGGAAAUCUGAUAGCUCAACUAUUAGGCUUUCGGGGGAUACUGCCAGACUUGGAACCGGGAGAGGUAAGAGGUACUACAGGGGUAGGAGUGAAAUCUUGUAAUCCCUGUGGGACCACCUGUGGCGAAGGCGUCUUACCAGAACGGGUUCGACGGUGAGGGACGAAAGCUGGGGGCACGAACCGGAUUAGAUACCCGGGUAGUCCCAGCCGUAAACGAUGCUCGCUAGGUGUCAGGCAUGGCGCGACCGUGUCUGGUGCCGCAGGGAAGCCGUGAAGCGAGCCACCAGGGAAGUACGGCCGCAAGGCUGAAACUUAA
rnacentral:rRNA from 1 species